UUGGGAGAUGAGAGUCUUGUUGAAUGGGCUCGGCCUUUGCUUGGCCAUGCACUAGCCAAUGAGGAAUUUGAUGAUUGGGUUGAUCCAAGGCUUGAAAAGAACUAUGAUGAAAGUGAAAUGUUUAGAAUGAUUGAGGCUGCAGCAGCUGCAGCCUGUGUGUGGCAUUCAGCUGCCAGGAGGCCAUGGAUGGGACAGGUUGUUAGAGCAUUCAAUAGUUUAGCCACCGCAGAUCUAAGCAAUGGAAUGAGAGUUGGGGAAAGUGAGGCAUUCAACACAGCAGAACAGUCUGCAGAAAUAAGAUUAUUUCGGAGGAUGGCAUUUGGUAGUCAAAAUUACAGUACAGAUUUUUUUAUCCAAGGUAGCGUGGAUAGUUGAGAGGACAUGGUGAAUAUUAGCAGAGAUGAAUGCCUAUAUUGACAGUGGGGUUUUUCCAGUUGAGAAAGAGCCCUAUGCAAGUUCAAGCAGAUUUGAUUGGGAAGGGCCUCAUCUACAGAUGUACGGGGAUUUGUACAUAAGGAAUUUACUGCUUCUGGCAUGGCGAUUGGUUAUUAGGUUAUUUUUAGCUUUUGCAUAUGAAAGAUCUGCGAUUCUUUUUUCUUGGAACAAGCUCAUGCUAAUUUUGUUCCUACGAAAUUUUUUAGCGUUAAUAAAAAAAUUAUUUAAUUUUUUUUGUUAAAAAAAAAAAAAAAA
rnacentral:misc_RNA from 1 species